CCAGGAGAGCAGUGAUCAGCAGUGUCAAAACUAUGUUGGCAAACCUGUCCCUGAAAGGGAGACCUGUUUCUGUGGUAGUGGUGGUAGCUGGGCUAGAACGGCAUCAGGGAUUUUGCAGACUGCUAAGGAUCAGAUUGCCUCUGAAGCACCCAGGUCUGUAUUGGAAGCCAGUGGGAGAAGCACUGCUGUGAUGCAAAUCCUCUGUUUUUAGCCUGGGACUCUGAAAUACUUGCUGGUGA